CGCGGAAUGGCGCAGUCCGGUAGCGCGCCAGGCUCAUAACCUGGAGGUCGAGGGUUCGAAUCCCUCUUCCGCAACCA
rnacentral:tRNA from 2 species